rnacentral:rRNA from 1 species
AGUGAACGCUGGCGGUAGGCCUAACACAUGCAAGUCGAACGGCAGCACAGUAAGAGCUUGCUCUUACGGGUGGCGAGUGGCGGACGGGUGAGGAAUACAUCGGAAUCUACUUUUUCGUGGGGGAUAACGUAGGGAAACUUACGCUAAUACCGCAUACGACCUACGGGUGAAAGCAGGGGAUCUUCGGACCUUGCGCGAUUGAAUGAGCCGAUGUCGGAUUAGCUAGUUGGCGGGGUAAAGGCCCACCAAGGCUACGAUCCGUAGCUGGUCUGAGAGGAUGAUCAGCCACACUGGCACUGAGACACGGUCCAGACUCCUACGGGAGGCAGCAGUGGGGAAUAUUGGACAAUGGGCGCAAGCCUGAUCCAGCCAUACCGCGUGGGUGAAGAAGGCCUUCGGGUUGUAAAGCCCUUUUGUUGGGAAAGAAAAGCAGCAGGUUAAUACCCCGCUGUUCUGACGGUACCCAAAGAAUAAGCACCGGCUAACUUCGUG